CCUACGGGAGGCAGCAGUGAGGAAUAUUGGUCAAUGGGCGCGAGCCUGAACCAGCCAAGUCGCGUGAAGGAUGACUGUCCUACGGGUUGUAAACUUCUUUUGUAAAGGAGUAAAGUGAGGCACGUGUGCCUCUUCGUAUGUACUUUCUGAAUAAGCAUCGGCUAACUCCGUGCCAGCAGCCGCGGUAAUACGGAGGAUCCGAGCGUUAUCCGGAUUUAUUGGGUUUAAAGGGUGCGUAGAUGGGUGGUUAAGUCAGUGGUUAAAGUUUGCGGCUCAACCGUAAAAUUGCAAUUGAUACUGGCAGCCUUGAGUACAGGUGAGGUAGGCGGAAUGCGUGGGGUAGCGGUGAAAUGCUUAGAUAUCACGAAGAACUCCGAUUGCGAAGGCAGCCUACUAGACUGCCACUGACAUUGAUGCUCGAAAGUGUGGGUAUCGAACAGGAUUAGAUACCCUAGUAGUC
rnacentral:rRNA from 1 species